UACAUCUUAAAAUUUCCCACAAAAAUAAAGAAAGCGUCAGAUUAGAAAGGUGCAAAAAUAAAUCUCUUUUGCAACCCAGAACUCAUGGUUCAGUAUGAAUUCUGAUACAUACAAGAAGGAAUAUA